GACGGGGGAUGCAUGUGUUAUCCGGAAUCACUGGGCGUAAAGCGUCUGUAGGUUGUUUAAUAAGUCAACUGUUAAAUCUUGAGGCUUAACUUCAAAACCGCAGUCGAAACUAUUAGACUAGAGUAUAGUAGGGGUAAAGGGAAUUUCCAGUGGAGCGGUGAAAUGCGUAGAGAUUGGAAAGAACACCGAUGGCGAAGGCACUUUACUGGGCUAUUACUAACACUGAGAGACGAAAGCUAGGGUAGCAAAUGGG
rnacentral:rRNA from 1 species